UCGCAUAUACGGAUAGUGAUUAUGCUGGUGGGACUAUGGAUGAUAGAAACAAGUACUUCAGGGUAUGUGUUUAAUAUUUUGUAAAUCAUGAGGCAUUAGAAGACAACUUUCACGCAGCUUACACACCCUCAGAAAAGAACGGGGUGCAGGCGUAAGAACCGAACCUCAUGAUAUGGUUCGAUUUGACUUACUCAAACAGAGAAGCAAAAUGCCCAAGGUAUUCUGGCCAGAAGCGGUCUGGACAGUACAUGUGGUAAACAGGGAAGUUCCUACAACAGUGGUAACGGCAAGACCCCAGAAGUGUGGAGUGGAAUCAAGCCAACCGUGGAGUAUUCGGGUUUGGGAUGCAUUGGAACAUGUUCACGUACCAGACAUAAGAGAUUAAAGCUGGAUGAAAGAGUUUACAAAUGUGUGCUUUCGGUACAGUGACGAGUCCAAAGCUUACAGGUUUGUUUGAUCCCAUUGCCAAGAAGAUUGUAAUUAGUAGAGAUGUUGUUCGUUAAAUGAAAUGGGGAAGUGAUAAAUGACAAAGGCUCUAGUGGGCAAAAGGUUAUGCUCAGGAACAUGGAAUAGAUUAUAAUGAGGUGUUUGCUUCCAAGUGGCACGGUGGGACACAAUUCGCAUGGGUUUUGGCUUUGGAUGCUCAGAAGGGUGGUUGGUGUUCAGUUGGAUGUAAAAAAGUGCAUUUUGCACGGAGAAUUGAGGAAGCUGUUUUUAUGAGCAGCGCAAGGGGAUAUGAGCAAAAAGGCCAAAGAGAGAAGGUGUUCUAGCUCAAAAGGCCUUAUAUGCCUAAAGACAGGCCCCUCGAGCCUGGUACAGUAAGAUUGAAAAUUAUUUUCGCAAUGAAGGUUUUGAAAGAUGCAGUCAUGAGUCUACUUUGUUUGUCAAAAACAGAAAGCUGGACGGUAAGAUUUUAAUUGUAAGUCUCUAUGUAGAUGACUUAAUCUUUCACAACCUGGUAAUGAUGUUGUUUGAUUGAGGAGUUUAAGUAUUCAAUGAAGUCUGAAGUUUGAGAUUGACAGAAUCUAGAAAGAUGGAGAUAUUCCAGGUGUUGAAGUCUGCAAAGUUCGAAGGGUUAUUCAUUUGUGUCACUGAAGAAAUAUGCCAAAAGAUGUUCUUGAUAGGUUUGUAUGAGGAGUGUGCAAUUCAGUAAAUAACCCAUAGUGCCGGUUCAAAGCUGACAAGAUGAAGGUGGGAGGGAAGAAGGCAUUGCAACCAAUUUCAAACCAAUUGCGUGGUUAGCUCAGUACUUGACGGCUACUAGACCUGAUAUUUGAUGCUACAGUGUAUGUCUAUUAGCCGAUAUAUGACAGAUCCCAACAGAGGAACAUUUGCUUGCCUGCAAAGAGGGUGCUUCGAGAUCUAAAGGGAAAUUGGAGCUUGGCGUGUUCUAUGCAAGAGAAGGUGCAAUAGAGUUGGUUAGCAUUAUACGGAAUAGUGAUUAUGAUGUGACUAUGAUGAUUAGAAAAAGUAAGAGGGUAUGUGUUUUAAGCUGAGUGGAGGAGCUGUGGCUUGGGGCUUCGAAGAAGCAGCAGUGUAACUCUUUCUACGACAGAGGCGGAAUAAUAUGUUGCCAGCAGUAGCGGUGGGCUUGUCAGAGAUAUUUGGAUGAAGAAAGAAAGUGCUCAAUCAUUUUCAGCCCUUCUCAAGUAGGGUAUUACUGUGUUUUGUGAUAACUCAUCUGCUAUUACGUUGUCUAACAAUCCGUUUUCCAUGGAGGAGCAAACAUAUAGAUGUGAGGUUUCAGUUUCUGCGUACAUCUCACAAUGGAUGGAGUGGUUGGUUGAGUUAUUGUGGUACCAGUGAGCAGCUUGCAGACAUUAGACCAAGCCUCUGAGCUUUGGGAGAGUUUUAGCUGGAGAGUUUUGUGAAGCUUCGAGAACUGCUGGGAAUGAAGUUUCUGGAUUUGAGGUGGUAAACGAUUGCUUUUGGCAAUUCCAGUUAGGGAGGAAAUGUUAGAGACGUUAGACAUUUGAAAUUUCAGAGUUUAGAGUUUUGAUGUGUUAGGUCUCUAGUUUGAAUCUGUCAAUUAAGCCUCCUAGUGUUUAGGAGACCGUUUUUUUUCAGAUUAGUGUUUGACGUUUCCUAGUUGUUUGCCACGGUCUUAGGGGUUGUUAAAGACGUGGGCUAUAUGUUGCUAUUCAGUUAUUUGUAAUGGCUUUAUAAGCCAUUCCUUUCAUUCAAUUAAUAACAGAUAAACUUCAAAGGUCUUUGCUGUAGGAGUACGAUUAUGUUGUUUAAGAAUGACGAGGUGGUGAUUCACUUCGUAUGAGUUUAUAAUUUUGUAAAUCUCAUGGCAUAGAAGACAACUUACGGCAGCAUACACCCCUGCAGAACGGGGUUUGCAGAGCGUAAGAAUCCUAUCCCUGGCUCACCUACCCUUUCCGUAUCUACUCCUUCCUUUUCUUCACCCUCUCCGAACCCCCCAUCAUGAAUAUGGUUCGAUUGCUUACUACAGAGAAGUAAGUUGUCAUGAGGGUUCGGUUCUACGCUUGCAACC
rnacentral:lncRNA from 1 species